AUCCAGCUAACGAGUCCCAAAUAGGACGAAACUAGCGUUCUGGAU
rfam:Schistosoma mattheei strain Denwood, Zambia genome assembly, scaffold: SMTD_scaffold0002087